rnacentral:rRNA from 1 species
GAUCAACGCUGGCGGCGUGCCUAAUGCAUGCAAGUCGAACGUUAUCCCCUUCGGGGGACGUACGUGGCGGACGGGUGAGGAACACGUGGGCAACCUGCCCGAAGGUGGGGGAUAGCCCGUGGAAACGCGGGGUAAUACCUCAUGUGCUUGCCGAUCUGUGGGAUUGGUAAGGAAAGUCCGCAAGGGCGCUUUCGGAGGGGCCUGCGGCCGAUUAGCUAGUUGGUGGGGUAACGGCCUACCAAGGCGGUGAUCGGUAGCUGGUCUGAGAGGACGGCCAGCCACACGGGGACUGAGACACGGCCCCGACUCCUACGGGAGGCAGCAGCAAGGAAUUUUCCGCAAUGGGCGAAAGCCUGACGGAGCAACGCCGCGUGGGGGAGGACGCUUUUCGGAGUGUAAACCCCUUUUCUCAGGGAAGAUAAUGACGGUACCUGAGGAAGAAGGACCGGCUAACUACGUGCCAGCAGCCGCCGUAAAAC